rnacentral:rRNA from 1 species
UGGGGAAUAUUGGGCAAUGGACGCAAGUCUGACCCAGCAACGCCGCGUGAAGGAAGAAGGCCUUAGGGUUGUAAACUUUUGUUGUGGGGGACGAAGAGAGUGACGGUACCCCACAAGGAAGCCCCGGCUAACUAUGUGCCAGCAGCCGCGGUAAGACAUAGGGGGCAAGCGUUGUCCGGAAUCACUGGGCGUAAAGGGAGCGUAGGUGGUGAAAUAAGUCAAGUGUGAAAGCCUUGGGCUCAACCCAAGAAAUGCACUUGAUACUGUUUUACUAGAGUAUGGGAGAGGUAAGUGGAAUUUCUAGUGUAGCGGUAAAAUGCGUAGAUAUUAGGAGGAACAUCAGAGGCGAAGGCGGCUUACUGGACCAAAACUGACACUGAGGCUCGAAAGCGUGGGGAUCAAACAGG